rnacentral:rRNA from 1 species
GACGAACGCUGGCGGCGUGCCUAAUACAUGCAAGUCGAACGCUUCUUUCCUCCCGAGUGCUUGCACUCAAUUGGAAAGAGGAGUGGCGGACGGGUGAGUAACACGUGGGUAACCUACCCAUCAGAGGGGGAUAACACUUGGAAACAGGUGCUAAUACCGCAUAACAGUUUAUGCCGCAUGGCAUAAGAGUGAAAGGCGCUUUCGGGUGUCGUUGAUGGAUGGACCCGCGGUGCAUUAGCUAGUUGGUGAGGUAACGGCUCACCAAGGCCACGAUGCAUAGCCGACCUGAGAGGGUGAUCGGCCACACUGGGACUGAGACACGGCCCAGACUCCUACGGGAGGCAGCAGUAGGGAAUCUUCGGCAAUGGACGAAAGUCUGACCGAGCAACGCCGCGUGAGUGGAGAAGGUUUUCGGAUCGUAAAACUCUGUUGUUAGAGAAGAACAAGGACGUUAGUAACUGAACGUCCCCUGACGGUAUCUAACCAGAAAGCCACGGCUAACUACGUG